rnacentral:sRNA from 1 species
GCUGGGCAUGAUGGUGGCGCAUGCCUGUAAUCCCAGGGGCUUGGGAGGCUGAGACAGGAGGAUCAUGAGUUCAAAGCCAGCCUCAGCAACCCAGGGACCCUGUCUCUA